GAUGAACGCUGGCGGCGUGCCUAAUACAUGCAAGUCGAGCGAAUGGAUUAAGAGCUUGCUCUUAUGAAGUUAGCGGCGGACGGGUGAGUAACACGUGGGUAACCUGCCCAUAAGACUGGGAUAACUCCGGGAAACCGGGGCUAAUACCGGAUAACAUUUUGAACCGCAUGGUUCGAAAUUGAAAGGCGGCUUCGGCUGUCACUUAUGGAUGGACCCGCGUCGCAAUUAGCUAGUUGGUGAGGUAACGGCUCACCAAGGCAACGAUGCGUAGCCGACCGGAGAGGGUGAUCGGCCACACUGGGACUGAGACACGGCCCAGACUCCUACGGGAGGCAGCAGUAGGGAAUCUUCCGCAAUGGACGAAAGUCUGACGGAGCAACGCCGCGUGAGUGAUGAAGGCUUUCGGGUCGUAAAACUCUGUUGUUAGGGAAGAACAAGUGCUGGUUGAAUAAGCUGGCACCUUGACGGUACCUAACCAGAAAGCCACGGCUAACUACGUGCCAGCAGCCGCGGUAA
rnacentral:rRNA from 1 species